rnacentral:rRNA from 1 species
UGCUAUAAUUGUCAGCUAAGUGGCGCACGGGUGAGUAAUGUAUAGAUAACCUGCCCUUAAGAAAGGAAUAACAGUUGGAAACGACUGCUAAUGCCCUAUAUGCCUUUAAUGCAUAAGUAUGCAAGGGAAACGCUUUAGUGCUUAAGGAUGGGUCUGUAUGGUAUCAGCUUGUUGGUGAGGUAAUGGCUCACCAAGGCUAUGACGCCUAACUGGUUUGAGAGGAUGAUCAGUCACACUGGAACUGAGACACGGUCCAGACUCCUACGGGAGGCAGCAGUGGGGAAUAUUGCACAAUGGACGAAAGUCUGAUGCAGCAACGCCGCGUGGAGGAUGACACAUUUCGGUGCGUAAACUCCUUUUAUAUAGGAAGAUAAUGACGGUACUAUAUGAAUAAGCACCGGCUAACUCCGUGCCAGCAGCCGCGGUAAUACGGAGGGUGCAAGCGUUACUCGGAAUCACUGGGCGUAAAGAGCGUGUAGGCGGGUAUAUAAGUCAGAAGUGAAAUCCAAUAGCUCAACUAUUGAACUGCUUUUGAAACUGUAUACCUAGAAUGUGGGAGAGGUAGAUGGAAUUUCUGGUGUAGGGGUAAAAUCCGUAGAGAUCAGAAGGAAUACCGAUUGCGAAGGCGAUCUACUGGAACAUUAUUGACGCUGAGACGCGAAAGCGUGGGGAGCAAACAGGAUUAGAUACCCUGGUAGUCCACGCCCUAAACGAUGUACACUAGUUGUUGUGAGGCUCGACCUUGCAGUAAUGCAGUUAACACAUUAAGUGUACCGCCUGGGGAGUACGGUCGCAAGAUUA